GAUGAAGAACGUAGCGAAAUGUGAUACGUAAUGUGAAUUGCAGAAUUCAGUGAAUCAUCGAAUCUUUGAACGCAUAUUGCGCUCUCUGGUAUUCCGGAGAGCAUGCUUGUUUGAGUAUCAGUAAACACCUCAACUUCCAUAUCUUUUUUGAAAUGGGAGUUGGACUUGAGUGAUCCCAACGCUUUUCCUCACCGAAAAGUGGCGGGUUACUUGAAAUGCAGGUGCAGCUGGACUUUUCUCUGAGCUAUAAGCAUAUCUAUUUAGUCUGCCUAAAAAACAGAUUAUUACCUUUGCUGCAGCUAACAUAAAGGAGAUUAGUUCUUGUGCUGACUGAUGCAGGAUUCACAAAGACGGCUUCGGCCGACUUUGUAAACUCGAUCUCAAAUCAAGGAAGACUACCCGCUGAACUUAAGCAUAUCAAUAAGCGGAGGA
rnacentral:misc_RNA from 1 species